rnacentral:rRNA from 1 species
GAUGAACGCUGGCGGCGUGCCUAAUACAUGCAAGUCGAGUGAACAGACGAGGAGCUUGCUCCUCUGACGUUAGCGGCGGACGGGUGAGUAACACGUGGAUAACCUACCUAUAAGACUGGGAUAACUUCGGGAAACCGGAGCUAAUACCGGAUAAUAUAUUGAACCGCAUGGUUCAAUAGUGAAAGACGGUUUUGCUGUCACUUAUAGAUGGAUCCGCGCCGCAUUAGCUAGUUGGUAAGGUAACGGCUUACCAAGGCAACGAUGCGUAGCCGACCUGAGAGGGUGUCCGCCAACAUUGGAACGUCGACCGGCCCCCACCCCCGCGGGGGGGCGCCGUGGGGGAUUCUCCGGCAAGGGGCAAAGUUUGAACGGCGCAGCGCCGCGUGAGGAAUAAAGGUCUUCGUAUCGUAAAACUCUUUUAUGGGGAAAAAAAAAAUUUUAAAUUAACUAUGCACGUCUUGAGGUUCCCUAAUCAAAAGCCCCCGGCUAACUCCGCC